rnacentral:rRNA from 1 species
UGAGAGUUUGAUCCUGGCUCAGAAUCAACGCUGGCGGCGUGCCUAACACAUGCAAGUCGAGCGAGAAAGGGGCCGCAAGGCCCUAAGUACAGCGGCGCACGGGUGAGUAACACGUGGGUAAUCUGCCCUGGAGUGGGGAAUAACACCGGGAAACCGGUGCUAAUACCGCAUACGAUGCCGAUGUCUGCGGAUGUCGUCAUGAAAGGAGCAAUUCGCUCCAGGAGGAGCCCGCGGCUGAUUAGCUAGUUGGUGAGGUAAUGGCUCACCAAGGCAACGAUCAGUAGCCGGUCUGAGAGGACGGUCGGCCACACUGGAACUGAGACACGGUCCAGACUCCUACGGGAGGCAGCAGUGGGGAAUUUUUGGCAAUGGGGGCAACCCUGACCAAGCAACGCCGCGUGGGUGAUGAAGUCUCUUGGGACGUAAAACCCUUUCGACGGGGAAGAAACCGCAAGGUUGACGGUACCCGUAGAAGAAGCCCCGGCUAACUCCGUGCCAGCAGCCGCGGUAAUACGGGGGGGGCGAGCGUUGUUCGGAAUUACUGGGCGUAAAGGGCGCGUAGGCGGUUCGUUAAGUCGGAUGUGAAAACUCUGGGCUCAACCCAGAGCCUGCAUCCGAAACUGGCGAGCUAGAGUUCUGGAGGGGAUAGCGGAAUUCCUGGUGUAGCGGUGAAAUGCGUAGAUAUCAGGAGGAACA